GGUGGGUUGGCGUAAUGGCAACGCGUUAGUUUCCGGUCGUAAUUGAUACUGACCAGCUAAAGAUUCUGGGUUCGAGUCCCAGGCCCGUCG